rnacentral:rRNA from 1 species
UACAGAGGUCUCAAGCGUUGUUCGGAUUCAUUGGGCGUAAAGGGUGCGUAGGCGGCGCGGUAAGUCGGGUGUGAAAUCUCGGAGCUUAACUCCGAAACUGCAUUCGAUACUGCCGUGCUUGAGGACUGGAGAGGAGACUGGAAUUUACGGUGUAGCGGUGAAAUGCGUAGAUAUCGUAAGGAAGGCCGGUGGCGAAAGCGAGCCUCUGGACAGUUACUGACGCUGAGACGCGAAAGCGUGGGGAGCGAACAGG